rnacentral:lncRNA from 1 species
CGUAAUGUUUCUUUUUUUCUGAAAAUUUCAAAGAAAUAAGUACGAUCAAGGAGACGGUGAUACGAUCGGUCGGCCAAAAAUGUUAGUUUCAGGAUCCUUGGUAUUUUUACUAUGGUUUCCAUUAAAUCACUGGAAAAUCUGUUCCAGUGCCUAGCGGCAUGGUCGCCACGCCAGAGGAGAAUAAAGAGGGGCUUAUUAUAAGCGACGUUAAUUCUCGAAUAAAUAACCGCGGGCUUGCGCGAAGAUCGAGAAGAGAAAGAGGGUUGUUCUAAGAAUAAGAAGGAGAGAGAGAAACACAGAAAGAAAGAGAGAGAGAGAGAAAAGGUGAGUAAAGAUUGAACUUGGAAAGAACGAUGAAAGAGAAGGAAGGAAGGAAGGAAGAGAGGGAAGAAACGGAAAAGGGAUGAGAAUGUAGGUGGUUGAUUUAUUUCGGCGCCGCAAAGAUCUGGAUUCGCGUACGUGUCUCGUGCUUCAAAUUACCAACUUAUAAACUCUCUUCUUCUCUCUUUCUUUCUUCUGGAAACCCUCCCAUAGAUCAUUCCGUUGUACGAGCAGAAAAGCAAUAUGUGCCCAAGUGUCGACACCUCUUCGAAUCGAGAGAAAUGUCAUCGAAAUAUCUCUUUACAAAUUUACAACCAUCUCGUACCUUCGCGGUCGAUAAAUCCUGCUGAUCAUCGCGAGUCCGUCUUUGUGAGCAUUCCUCUGCCGGUCAUCUUACCUGAAACAAUAGAGAACAAUCUUCGAUAAUAACGAAAACGUUCUGACGUAUUAAGUUUGUACUUUAAUAAAUUGUUAUUAAAUAACUGUGAUAAAAUUGUUAGCGAUAAUUUGAUUUACAUAUUUAUGCAUAUUUAUUUUAAUUGCUUGAAAUUCGAUUUUACAUCAGAUCGUAUUAGAGAGAAGAAAAUGGGACAAAGACAAACGAGAGAAGAAGACCGAACGGUAAGUCGAGGUCCGGAAAGUCUAAACUUUUUACAGCGGUGUUAGCGCAUUUAAUUUAUCUGGCGAUAAUGGAGACGAGGCAGCGGUGUUGCGUUGAGGAGAAGAAGAAACGAAGAAAGAAGAGAAGAAGGAAGGGUGAAAACCUCGAGCCACGAGAAGAACAGAGAAUCCUUAUUAAAAUUCAUUAAUUUCGCCCAUCUAUGAAAGUUUCAUUUUCAUGCAAAUCUGAGGAAUAAUCCGGCUGAAAAAAACCAAUUUGAAUGACUUCGGAAGAGUCGUGCCGGUCGCUAGGGAAACUUGCUUGUUGUGCGAGAGAAUGAACGUGCGUACGCACAAGUUUGCCUCUGUAAGUGUGUACGAUAAAGAAAGAUAGAAUAAACGGUACGUCAAACGUGGCAGGAUAAAGCGACAUCGUAUUCUUACUAAACGGUAUUAUGCAAAUGACGAUCCCAACGCAUGAAAUUUUGGAUAGCACGAAAAUAAAACUAAUGUGAUGGAGAAGAAAAGCUAUUUCCUGUAGAGCCUCGUAAAAACGAUGGAGAAUAAGAGAAAGAGAAAUAGGAGAGAGAGAGAGAAAGAAUGAUUGUGAAAAAAGGGUGAGGGGUUGUUCGCAGAGAGUAGAACGAGCGAACAAAUCGUCACGACAGGAAUCUGGGCCGACGUGCAAUGAGUGAUCGCGCGUUUCCAGUGGUAACCUCGAGAGAAGCGAAAUUUUCCGACCGACAGCCACGUCAAAACGAUUUGUCGUCGGCCUUCUAAAGAGAAAUGCGAGUCACUCUCCCUUCUCUCUUCUUGUGGGCGGACGACAACCAUUUCCUCGAGUCUCAAGAAAUCACCCCUUGCUCCUGUUUGCUCCUAUCUUUGCUUUUGCACACGUGCAUUCAUGAAGGACAUACGCAAACUCGAAGGAGUACAAGCUUCUGUCGAUUCUCUUUUUUUUAUUUCUUCUUCUUCGUCUUAUUUUCUUUUCUCUUUUCUUCUCUUUCUUUUACCAUUUUCUCAGACCCUUCUUAUCUGUUUGCUAUUUAUUUAGGAGGAUCGGACGAAUGGCACUCGACUGAUACCAAGCGGACAAACCCAAGCGAUGCUGGAAUCACCUCUUAAGAAUACACAUGCCCCAGCCCUUCGAUGAAGCGCCCUUUUGCCUCGGCAGCAUCGUUCUAGGGCGCAUACGCGAAUACACAUAAAAAUAUGCGGACUUGCGAGGCUGCACGAGUUCGCUGCAUAAUCAUGCAGUCGAUGAACGCGAGGGAGUUAACCAUGCGAGAAAGGAUAGGGCAGGGAAAAAGAAAUUUACGGGGAUCCGCAUCGAGGAAAUAAUCGUCGAGUUCUGAUAGGUUCGUAGAAUAUGAAAUAAAUCGACAAAUAUCAGAGCGAUUUGGAAGCAUUCGACAAAUCGACAGAGGAAGAUACUCGAUAAGGGAGAUACACGAAGUUUCCAUUCGUCUUACCUUAGCGAAUCGGAGGUCUGCCCGCUGUCAAGAUAAAGGAUGUUUAGGACAGUUGGCUGAGUUCGACGAUCGAUGAACCUCUUCUUCCUGUCAAAACACCACAUACAACGGUUACCGUUCCUUUUAAGAGAUAUGGACAACUCUCAAGGGAAGAAAUUGUUGGACGAUGAAUCAAGAGUUGAAAAGGUGUCGAACGACGGCUGUCGGCCAUUAUUGUUGUUUCUUCUUCGACUAUACUACGUCUAUAUUUUUAUUAUUGCGAUGGUUGAAGAAAAGACAUUUAGUAAUUGUUUUUCUGUUAUUCGUUUGUUCGAAGUUUUAAAGAGAAAACGAAAA